rnacentral:rRNA from 1 species
UACGUAGGGGGCAAGCGUUGUCCGGAUUUAUUGGGCGUAAAGAGCGUGUAGGCGGCCUGACAGGUCUGCUGUGAAAACUCGAGGCUCAACCUCGAGAUGUCGGCGGAAACCGUCUGGCUAGAGUCCGGAAGAGGAGAGUGGAAUUCCUGGUGUAGCGGUGAAAUGCGCAGAUAUCAGGAAGAAUACCUAUGGCGAAGGCAGCUCUCUGGGACGGUACUGACGCUGAGACGCGAAAGCGUGGGGAGCGAACAGG